rnacentral:rRNA from 1 species
GUAAAGAGCAUGUAGGCGGCUUAAUAAGUCGAGCGUGAAAAUGCGGGGCUCAACCCCGUAUGGCGCUGGAAACUGUUAGGCUUGAGUGCAGGAGAGGAAAGGGGAAUUCCCAGUGUAGCGGUGAAAUGCGUAGAUAUUGGGAGGAACACCAGUGGCGAAGGCGCCUUUCUGGACUGUGUCUGACGCUGAGAUGCGAAAGCCAGGGUAGCGAACGGGAUUAGAUACCCCGGUAGUCCUGGCCGUAAACGGUGGGUACUAGGUGUAGGAGGUAUCGACCCCUUC